ACCCAUAGUCCGCUGCACAGAUGCUAUUGGAUUGAACCGCUGCCUACAACAGCAGCGCAAAGGAACUCCGUUCAAGACGCACGCCGUGCGUAAAACAAGGAAGAGAUUCUACAGCAGAUUGAAAACAGUCAUGCUGCUUACUUGAAAACAGAUGCAGAUCAACUCUCAGGGAGCCUCCAGUUACAAUCUGUAUCUUACACACGGGAAACCUGAGGACUGUUUUGAGCAUCUCUUUACCUGAAGGCUCUGAGGGGUCUAAGCCAGUACCUGGUGAAACUUCAUCUCUGCUGGUUUAAUAUUUAAACACUGUUGAGAGUUUGGUUCCCCUUAGAGAUCUGGAUGAACACAUACCAUCACCCAAACUGCACCCAAUCUCUCUGGAAGGAUCAGCUCUGCUACCACUGCAGAUCCGGUUGCACAUGCUAGCCUACAAAGACCAAGCACCGCUCCAAUUGUGAAAGCUGACACAGAGUUUUACACACGAUGUAUGUGAACUCUUCUGGAGCAGAGACUGGAUACUCACUGACCUUCCUGGGGAAGAAAGUUGGGAGGCAUCACUCCGUUGCUCCUGCAGGAAAACAACGCGCCUGGGAACCGACCAACAGAUCUACCUGUCCUGAGGACCCCACAGUGUCCUUGAGGCCUGGACGGGUCCCGGUAGUAGCUCUGGUUCCUGAAGAUUUACCGGGCAGUGUACCGGAGCUGGAGGAUGAGAGGCCAUGUCCCAUAAUUCACAACACACAGUUUGACCAGUACGAGGACAGAACAGGUGUAUCUGGGAGGAAGGUAACAGCAUGACGACACGCCUACAUUCCUGUAGGUGGAAACAAAGAGGGAAGAGGGUGGGAUGUGGAAGAAGCAUUCAGAGGGGGAAAGCAUUUUAAGAAUGUGUCAAUAUUGUAGAUGAAUCUGAUGGAUUACCUUCAAAAUAAGAAUAAACCAGGAUUUAAAACCACCAUAAAUCAAGCAGUGUAAAUAGAGAAUAAACUGUAUUCUAAACACACUUCAUAAAUAUGUGAACCGUGUUUUAAAUAUAACAAAUAAAGUCUAAAUGAUGCACAAAGA